GCGGGUAUGGUGGAACUGGCAGACACGCCAGACUUAGGAUCUGGUGCCUUACGGUGUGGGGGUUCAAAUCCCUCUAUCCGCACAA
rnacentral:tRNA from 1 species